UGUCACUGUGCUCCCUGGAGGGCUGCUCAUCCCUCUAUGCAGAGGAGAACUCCCUGGGCUGGAGAGCUGCUGGGGAGCCCAACAUCGCCGGUCAGCUCCAACAUGACUCUGGGGCUGCAUGAAUGUCCGUGUGCCUGUGGGAGGCAGCUCACCCAAAGCAAGGGCUCCUGCUUUGUGUGUUGAAUGCUUGCUUCUGGCUGACACUGAUUUUCUGUUUCUCCCGCCUAUUGCACCCUUAAAAAGAUACUACAGUAUUCUCUGAUAAUGGGCCUAAAUGCUUUUGCAGCUGAUAAGGGUGAUAAAAUCAUUCAUGCACACUGCCAUGGCAACCUACAGCAAUUGCUCCUCGCUUGCUGUGUGUGUUCUCUUUGGUGUGAGUGCAGAUGUGUGGUUUUGGUUGAGACUUGCCUGGGAAUUACCCAAAUCUGGAAGAUUUGUGUUUGGUUAUGAGCUCUGAAAGGAUGUGGAGCCACUGAGCAGCUCCUUGUCUUGCCGGCCACCCUCAGGGAGGAGCAGGUGGAGCAGGGCAUGCUUCACCUGCUGUGAGCCCUGGCAGUGCAAAUUGCAUCUCAAAAGAGUUGUCAGUGCUGAGGAGGAGGCUUCUGAAAAAGAAGUUUGUUUCCAAAUGAAUUGAAUUCCAUAGUGGUUAUCAAGAGGAACUGCUGGGUGUCUGCUCCCAGCUCUACCAUCAUCUAAGAUCAGUGUGCUGCCUCCUGACCAGGUGACAUCCCAGCUAGAGAAGUCGAGCGACUGAGUGUCAUUCUGAUGUUCUGCCCUCGUACCAGCCAUGAGCUGAACUCCACCCAUCUGUUUGACAGUUUUCUCCAUCACUCAUUAGUGUCAGUGCAAAAAUAUGUCUUGUGAAAUUGUGUCUCUUAAGUGGUGAAGAGAGAAGGUGGAUUUCCCAAGCUGCCAGCCUGGCAGUGGUGGUCUUGUGAUGUGGAAUAUUUACUGAGACCUUUGGAGCUAGAAGACUCCAACAGAGAUGUUUGUGAAGUGCACAAAUGUAGAAGUGCUGCAUGAAAUCAUGGUCUGGGUUGUGUUGAAGAUCACCAAGUGACAUGAAAUGGAAGGGAAGCUUAGACACAGCAUCAGUCUCCUCUGAUUAUUAUCAAUGUUAACCCCAGGUUGGUAACACCAGGCCUACCACGCAGAUCCUCAUGGUAGUCAGCCAGCAUGGUGGGAAACUUGCUAUUUCAGUGGGGAAAUGAGACAAAACAGUAUUGGGGAACUUGUCCGAGGUCAUGCAGAGAAGAUGACUGGGAUGUUGUUACCCACCACCUAAGCUCUGGCCUUUUCCUCUUCCUGCCUCAAGUGUGGUUUCCUCUCCUGACCCUACAGCAUCCCUCAGCCAGAGCAGAGAAGGAUUGCUUGAAUGGGGAGGUGAAAGAAGAAAUGUUACUUCACUGAGCUAUGUCAAGAAAUUAUAUGGGAAGAAGAAUCAGAGGAGAGAUGGAAGGAGCCCAACUGUCUUCUUCUGCAGGGAAGACAUCUCUUCGUAGCAUUGAGACUGCCUUUAGGAUUCAUGAUUCAGCUUUCAGAUUUUCUAACUAUGGAAGCUCUCCUGAGGAGCUGCAUCACACACUGCUGCCCCUGGGAUGGGAUGCAGAGCAGGGAGUGAAGAGGAGCUGCAAUGUGCCACUGCAAGUUGCUUUCUUGAGGAGAGAGGCUUUCUGGCAUGUCAUACAGUGCCAAAAGCCAUUUUACUCUUGACAGUAAAAAUCCUUAUCCUUUUUGUUUUUUUUUUUUCCAGGACAGAUGAUAUUUCCUGUUAGAGAUGCUUUGUAUGCAAAUCAAAGUAGUACAACGAGAAAAAAAGUCCUGAAAGCAAUCACACUGAUAAACUCAGCCCACUGGGGAAUUCCUGCUUAUCAUUUAUCUUUUCUUUUUUCAGUUCUGUACAAGAUACUUCUUUGCCUGUGCUUUCUUAUAGUCUUUAAAGUUUGUCCUGCCAGACCUCUUACUCAUGAACUACAGUGCUACUUGCAUUUUGCAGGGCUCCAUGUCAAUCUGAACAAACAAAAGGCAGUAAAUGCUGGAGAUUGGUGUUAACAGUUCCUGUGUUUUAUCUUUGCCCUACAUUGCUCUAGUGCUUUCUGAAGUUUAAGCUAGGCAUGAAUCUCACACUGCAGAUUGCCAUGUGCCUAUAGUGAUGGUCUACCUGAGAAGCCCAUAAACUUUCAGAAAGCUCAGGAAAGGAAUGAGGAGAGCAAAUAUGUGGGAGACCAGAAAGCUGGCUAAGAUGUGGACUCCUGCACUUUGGAUGUCUGAAGCUGCAUGGGGUGAACUCCCCUCUCACUACCUGCAUGAGUGAGCAGGAGUUACUGGAACAAAGCACCUAAUUCAGAACUGUCUGACACCAUCCUAGAUGAAAAUAAUAUGGAAACUUUAAUCAGCUCUCUGCAGCUGAGCAGUCCCUGGAGGUCCUGUACCAGGCCUGACCCACUUGCUGAACACCAGCAGUGCAGCACUGGGCACUGCACCUGCCUUCAGAAGAAUGAAAGGACAGCAAUCUGAAAAGAGAUAAGCACAGGGGAUGGCAAUCUGUGGAAGACAUUGCUGAGAAGAAGAUUCCCAUGUGCUCUUCAGAAGGGCUGCUGAGCUGCCAAAGAAGCACCAAGCUUUCUCCUUCCUGUGUGUACCCAUCCUGCUGGCUGCAGCUGGGGUGCCACGAACCCUUGCUGGACCCCAAGAGGAUGCAAGGCUCUGUCACUCCCUCGCAUGCUGAGGCCUGGCCAGACUCCACAGGCAGAGUGAUGCUCCAGGGCCUCUGGACAACCUCCUUCCUGGGCACAACACACCUUGAUUUUCUGGUGUUUUUUUUUAUUUUUUAAUUUUGGCUGAUUGAAUAACUGAAGUACAAACCUCCUUCACCUAUUUGACAUUAAUUCACUGAUGGAUGGCGUAAUGUUUCAUGUUUACUUUUUAACCCAUGGGGUGAUGAUGUGAUUAUAAGCCUCACAUCCAUGGUGUAUCUUUGAGCCAUCUGAAAAGUGAGUUUUUACAGAAAACAUGAGAAUGGUGGGGGGGUGGGAUAAAUUUUUUUAAUCCCUGAAUUUUGUUCUAAGUUUUGAACAAAUCAGAUGUAUUUCAUGGGACCAAAAAAGCUGUGAUUUUUCCCCUUUUCUUUCUUCAGUGUUGUUUUUUUGUUUUGUUUAGCUUUUUUUUUGGAAUUAAAAUGUUUACUCACAUAUAAA